AAUAGAUACCCCGGUAGUCCACGCCGUAAACGAUGAGUGCUAAGUGUUAGGGGGUUUCCGCCCCUUAGUGCUGCAGCUAACGCAUUAAGCACUCCGCCUGGGGGAGUACGGCCGCAAGACUGAAACUCAAAGGAAUUGACGGGGGGCCCGCACAAGCGGUGGAGCAUGUGGUUUAAUUCGAAGCAACGCGAAGAACCUUACCAGGUCUUGACAUCCCGCUGACCGCUAUGGAGACAUAGCUUUCCCUUCGGGGGACAGCGGUGACAGGUGGUGCAUGGUUGUCGUCAGCUCGUGUCGUGAGAUGUUGGGUUAAGUCCCGCAACGAGCGCAACCCUUGUCCUUAGUUGCCAUCAUUCAGUUGGGCACUCUAAGGAGACUGCCGUACAAAUACGGAGGAAGGUGGGGAUGACGUCAAAUCAUCAUGCCCCUUAUGACCUGGGCUACACACGUGCUACAAUGGACGGUACAACGGUUGCGAAGUCGCGAGACGGAGCCAAUCCGAGAAGCCGUUCUCAGUUCGGAUUGCAGG
rnacentral:rRNA from 1 species